UUUAAAACUACGAGUGCCUCUUCUACAUGUGCAAGAAUGGUUUAUAAAUUGUUGUGAAGGAUAUUUGGAUGCAAAUUGUGUGAAUCUCUUUGAAGAAACAAGAAAUACUUGGUCCAGUCCUAACAAUCUGAGAAGUUAUGUUUGAUCUUUUUUGUUAUUUAGCUGACAGCAAUCAUCCUCCUAAAUUUUAUUUGUAGCUAUUUUGAAACAUUGGGUUUCCUUUUCACGCAAAAAUGGUAUACUAUAAUAAUUGCAAUGGGUUGGCUUCA